UCCAAAAACUGAGGCUCUGCCGCCAAAAACAGGGACCAGGGACCAAAGCCAGCUCCGGGCCACCUUCUCUGUACCUCUCCAAACCUCAGGCCUGCUUAAUUAUGAUUAAUUGCCACAUGGAUAAUCAGAUACAGUUUCAAAAGGUUGGAAAUGACAUCUCAAGGACACCAGGGAAGACCGAAAUCUUUCUUUGUUCGCAGGAAGAAAAGGCAGGUCCCUCCCUCAGCCCCAUAACCUUUUCCUAUUUUAACAAUUCCAAACGGAAUUAAUACCUUCAGUAUAUCGUUCCCACCCCGGGGAAUUGAACUUCAACUGUACAAUUUCUGCAGCUGUCCGUGCUCCAGACCGCCUGUCAAUAAUGCGAUGUUGGGGUGCCCUUCUGCUGGAAAGAGAGCAGUUUCAAGUUUCUGCUUUACGUCUGUGCUUUCUGGGUGGUGGAACAUGAUGAGAAAGCACCAAAAAAAUAAUAAUAACAGCCGUUAAAACGCUUCCACUCUUGACUUAACUGGAUCAAAUGUAAUAGACUUCAGCCUUUUCUCCUGAUUUCCUCUGCUUGUUUUAGAAAACACUGUGAAAAGUGCAGGCGAUUGUGUUUUGCCAGCUCUUCCCUCCGUUUAAAACUCCUUUGGCUAAGUCAAGGAUCACAGUAAGUCAUUUCCCCUCUAACAGAAGUGCUGGGCCCCGCUCCGCUCCUAUUACCAGGAGGCCAAUCCCUCGGUUGCCGGCGCCAGGGCUGCUGCACUUGGCUCCUAUCCCAGCAUUGUUCGCUUAUUACAUUCCAGAGGGCCGCUCUGUGAGUUAAUGUUUGCCCUGGGAGGUCCAAAAUAUCCAGCAAUCAGCACUGAACUUUUCUCUUUUUGUUGAGAAUUGCAGGUUUCAGAUGCAAUCACUGGCUUUAAAGGAAAACGUACAGACCCAUCGGACCACCGCUGAGAGGAGAAUCCUCACCUGUUCCUUAUUCCUUGGAUUCUGAGUCCUCACUGAACCCUCCUCUCUGCCAAGGACCAGAAGGGCUGGACAGGAUUGUGCUGUGCUGCUCGAGACGGGAGGGCCAGGGCCUUGGAAAUGCGUCAAGAGCAAGAAGACAGGAGGAAACAGAGGAUUCUCACCCCCGCUGCCCACUAAACCAAACCCGUGCCGCUGUCUCCGGGAACAUCGGCAAGGAGGAUAAGGAAACUUAGGAAAGAUCAAGUAAUUUGCUGAAGUUUACAAGUUCAUCACUACUUUCUUGGAAUCCAAAGCUGCAAUCAUGACACAAUUUUGCAUCUCUACUUGAAGAUUAAAGCAAUUUUUAUGAUUUUGAUGAGGCAGGGGGAGGAUUUCUUUUAGCAAUUUGCAGAUAGUGAACAUGAAGGUGAAAAUAAGCUUUGAUUUCGUUUCUGAACAUAAUUAGUAUCCUGGCUUUUUUCCCUCUCGAACACCCUGCAUUGCUCAUUUUAUAAUUGUUGAUAUGGGGGAGUCAUUUGGACGUCAUGGUGGGUGAGUUGCAUGCCAGCUCAAGUAAGCAGAGUGGAACAACCCAGGUAUCUAAUAAAAUACCUCUUGACUUGUA